GGUAGUAGCAAAUAUUCAAAUGAGAGCUUUGAAGACCGAAGUGGAGAAAGGUUCCAUGUGAACAGCAGUUGGACAUGGGUUAGUCGAUCCUAAGAGAUAGGGAAAUUCCGUUUGAAAGCGCCCGAUCUUGGGCCGCCUAUCGAAAGGGAAUCGGGUUAAUAUUCCCGAACCGGGACGCGGAUAUUGCCGUUCGCGGCAGAUGCGGUAACGCAAACGAACCCGAAGACGCUGGCGGGGGUCCUGGGAAAAGUUCUCUUUUCUUUUUAACGAGCUUUCACCCUGAAAUCAGCUUGCCUGGAGAUAGGGUUUAAUGCUCGGUAAAGCACCACACUUCUUGUGGUGUCCGGUGCGCUCUCGACGGCCCUUGAAAAUUCGGGGAAGACAUUGAUUUUCGUGUCCGGUCGUACUCAUAACCGCAGCAGGUCUCCAAGGUGAGCAGCCUCUGGUU
rnacentral:rRNA from 1 species